rnacentral:lncRNA from 1 species
CUUAAAUGUUCUUGCAGAGUUUGUUUAUGCAUAUAUUGGAAAAUAUGAAUAUGUAGUCUUAUUCCUUUACUUUUUACAAAAAGCAGCACACAAUAUACACUAUUUUAUACAUUGUUUUUUAUUUUGCAUUUAUCAAUACUUCUUGAUGCUCAAUAUUAGUUAGCUUCCUCAUGCUUUUUUUUUUUUUUAUGGUGAAAAGAUAUACAUAUAUUUAGAAUUAGCCAGCUGGACUGUUUAGAUGAUCCCAAUUUUGUUUGCAACAUCCAAAGCAUCGUAAUCAGGAGCCAGUCGAACAUAUGCUUUCUUCUCUCCAUCAGGCCGAAUCAGGGUGUUGACCUUGGCCACAUCAAUGUCAUAGAGCUUCUUCACAGCCUGUUUGAUCUGGUGCUUGUUGGCUUUAACAUCCACAAUGAACACAAGUGUGUUGUUGUCUUCUAUCUUCUUCAUGGCAGACUCAGUGGUCAGUGGAAACUUGAUGAUCGCAUAGUGGUCAAGUUUGUUUCUCCUGGGGGCGCUCUUCCGAGGAUAUUUGGGCUGCCUCCGGAGUCGCAGUGUCUUGGGCCGCCGGAAGGUGGGUGGAUCACAAGGUCAACAGAUUGAGACCAUCCUGGUCAAUUUGGUGAAACCCCGUCUCUACUAAAAAUACAAAAAAUUAGCUGGGCACGGUGGUGCGUGCCUGUAAUCCCAGCUACUCCGGAGGCUGAGGCAGGAGAAUUGCCUGAACCCAGGAGGCAGAGGAAUGGUGAGCCGAGAUCGCACCAUUGCACUCCAGCCUGGGUAACAAGAGCGAAACUCCGUCUCAAAAAACAAAACAAACAAACAAAAAACCUUCUGUUGAUAAAAAGACUGUGGCUCGU